CGGGCGGCUGCUAUACAUGCAGUCGAGCGGACAGAUGGGAGCUUGCUCCCUGAUGUUAGCGGCGGACGGGUGAGUAACACGUGGGUAACCUGCCUGUAAGACUGGGAUAACUCCGGGAAACCGGGGCUAAUACCGGAUGCUUGUUUGAACCGCAUGGUUCAAACAUAAAAGGUGGCUUCGGCUACCACUUACAGAUGGACCCGCGGCGCAUUAGCUAGUUGGUGAGGUAACGGCUCACCAAGGCAACGAUGCGUAGCCGACCUGAGAGGGUGAUCGGCCACACUGGGACUGAGACACGGCCCAGACUCCUACGGGAGGCAGCAGUAGGGAAUCUUCCGCAAUGGACGAAAGUCUGACGGAGCAACGCCGCGUGAGUGAUGAAGGUUUUCGGAUCGUAAAGCUCUGUUGUUAGGGAAGAACAAGUACCGUUCGAAUAGGGCGGUACCUUGACGGUACCUAACCAGAAAGCCACGGCUAACUACGUGCCAGCAGCCGCGGUAAUACGUAGGUGGCAAGCGUUGUCCGGAAUUAUUGGGCGUAAAGGGCUCGCAGGCGGUUUCUUAAGUCUGAUGUGAAAGCCCCCGGCUCAACCGGGGAGGGUCAUUGGAAACUGGGGAACUUGAGUGCAAAAAAGGAGAGUGGAAUUCCACGUGUAGCGGUGAAAUGCGU
rnacentral:rRNA from 1 species